AUAAUGAGACUUCCGCCUGCGGGCGGCUCGGUGAGAACCACGGAGGGGUGAGAUUCCCAUGG
ncrna:unclassified sequences pemK RNA